rnacentral:lncRNA from 1 species
CUCCUGAAGGAUUCGACUCCUCUCUUGAGACCUCCUGCUCCAGGCCAGCUCUUCGUGCGUGGCCCUCCACACCCCCCUAAAGUUAACCCCCUACGCAGGGCUGGGAGGGCUAAAAGUCAGUACCUGCCCCAGACCCAAUUCCUGAACGUUCCUCCUGCGAUUGUUAGGGGUGCCUGGGCUUGCUCCGAAGACUUUAAAUAAAGGAUUUGGAUAUACAGAGCUUACUUCUUAACGUCAUUGUGAGGAUUAAGGGAUAACACACGGAAGCACUCAGAACAAUGCCUGAUACAUCAGGAUGGAUGAAAAUUAUAACCUCUUACCUCAUGGAGUUAAUUUCCAAGGUGCCAUCUUCUGAGACACUCAAGAGAACAGAAGAAGGUUUUCUAGCUCGUUCCAGUUUUCAAAUCGUUCCCAAGGGCAGCAACUGGUGACUUUUUCCAGUGACUGGGAGAUCCAAGAAGAAAAUAGG